rnacentral:rRNA from 1 species
GAUGAACGCUGGCGGCGUGCCUAAUACAUGCAAGUCGAGCGGACGGACGAGAAGCUUGCUUCUCUGAUGUUAGCGGCGGGCGGGUGAGUAACACGUGGAUCACCUACCUAUAAGACUGGGAUAACUUCGGGAAACCGGAGCUAAUACCGGAUAAUAUUUUGCACCGCAUGGUUCAAAAGUGAAAGACGGUCUUGCUGUCACUUAUAGAUGGAUCCGCGCUGCAUUAGCUAGUUGUUAAGGUAACGGCUUACCAAGGCAACGAUGCAUAGCCGACCUGAGAGGGUGAUCGGCCACACUGGAACUGAGACACGGUCCAGACUCCUACGGGAGGCAGCAGUAGGGAAUCUUCCGCAAUGGGCGAAAGCCUGACGGAGCAACGCCGCGUGAGUGAUGAAGGUCUUCGGAUCGUAAAACUCUGUUAUUAGGGAAGAACAUAUGUGUAAGUAAAUGUGCACAUCUUGACGGUACCUAAUCAGAAAGCCACGGCUAACUACGUG